rnacentral:rRNA from 1 species
GGUUCGAUCAUGGCUCCAGAUUGAACGCGGCAGGAUGCUUUACACAUGCAAGUCGAACGGCAGCACGGACUUCGGUCUGGUGGCGAGUGGCGAACGGGUGAGUAAUGUAUCCGGAACGUGCCUAGUAGCGGGGAUAUAACUACCCGCGAAAGCGCUUAUCAUCUCCUGCGCCCUUCGGGAAAGCGGGGGACCUUCGGGCCUCGCACUAUUGAAACGGCCGAUAUCCGGAUUAGCUAGUUGGUGGGGUAACGGCUCGCAAGGCGACGAUCCGUAGCUGGUUUGAGAGGACGACCAGCCACUGGUUGGAGACACGGCUGAACUCCACCGGAGGGCAGCAGUAGAGAAUUUUGGACAAUGGGGGAAACCUGAUCCAGCCGUCCCCUGCGUGUGCGAUGAAGGCCUUCAGUUUAUCAUGCCUGGCGGGAAAAACGGCACGGCGGCGGGGAUAACUUCCCCGUGCAGCGGCUGGCUGCCUGCAGAAUGGCACCGGCUAACUGGUCUGGCAACCCGCGGUAACCGGCAAGGUUACUGGCGGUGUCGGAAUUACUGGGCGUAAAGCGUGCGCAGGCGGUUCGGAAAGAAAGAUGUGAAAUCCGACUUAACUUUGGAACUGCAUUUUUAACUACCGAGCUAGAGUGUGUCAGAGGAGGUGGAAUUCCGCGUGUAGCAGUACAAUGCGUAGAUAUGCCGGAGGAACACCGAUGGCGAAGGCAGCCUCUGGGAUGCUGCUGACGCUCAUGCACGAAAAGCGUGGGGGCAAAACAGGAUUCGUUACCCUGGUAGUCCACGCCCUAAACGAUGUCAACUAGCUGUGUUUGGGGCCUUCCGGGCCUUGGUAACUGCAUACUGCGUAAGUUGACCGCCUGGGAAUACGUUCGCAAGAUUAAAACUCAAAGGAAUUGACGGGGACCCGCACAAGCGGUGGAUGAUGUGGAUUAAUUCGAUGCAGCGCCAAAACCUUACCUACACUGGCACAUGUCUGGAAUCCCGAAGAGAUUUGGUGCUAUAAAGAAAGACCGGAACACAGGUGCUGCAUGGCUGUCGUCAGCUCGUGUCCGGCAAGAUGGUGGUUGAUCCCGCAACAGGCGUAACCGCAAUCACGUGGUUCUUUACGAAGGCACUCCUUAGGCCUGGUGACAAACCGGAGGAAGAUGAGGACUGACGUCAGGUCUCAUGGCCCUUAUGGGUGAGGCUUCCGCGUGUUUGUGAUUAUGGGACAGAGGGUCGCCAACCCGCGAGGGGAGCAAUCCAGAAGCGAUCAUGAUGGAUCCUGAUCUGCAACCUCGACUGCGUACGUCGGAAUCGCUAGUAAUCACGGAUCCAUGUCGCGGUGAGGAAUACGUUCCCGGGUCUUGUACACACCGCCCGUCACACCAUGGGAGUGGGUUUUACCAAGUAGUUAACACAACCGUAAGGAGGGCGCAAUUCUACAGUGGUUCAUUCGGUGAAGUCGUAACAGAGGUAA